AGCCAUCCUUGGGAUACCACCCUUGUAGUACUGGGACUCUAACCAUAGGCCAUGAAUCUGGUCUUGGGACACUGUCAGGUGGGCAGUUUGACUGGGGCGGUCGCCUCCCAAAAGGUAACGGAGGCGCGCAAAGGUUCUCUCAGUACGGUCGGAAAUCGUACGUAGAGUGUAAAGGCAAAAGAGAGCUUGAUUGCAAGACAUACAGGUCGAGCAAGGAUGAAAAUCGGAC
rnacentral:rRNA from 1 species